AAUGCUCCUCCUGCUCGGCCUCGAGAGCGGUGAUUAACAUUGUCAUUUCAAUUGGUGUGAAUGAGACGAUUAUACUGUUUUAAUUUUAAUUAUGUAAAAUUCUAAAAAGCAGGAGGAGUAACGAUAAGGCUGCUUCAAUUUCUACUAAUAACGGCGUCUUCACAACUCAUUGAAUCGGAACUGACUAAACUAAUGUUGUCUUUUUAGUUCCAUCUGCCACACGCUCCAAACCCCCACCUGGAGAUACCGCUGAUCUACAGGCAUCACUAGUUGAUGCUGUUCCAGCUUCACCAGGUGUGAAGAGGAAGAGACCUGUGCCCCUCCCUCCACAGCUGGCCUUCCUGGUGACAGAGACAGAGGGUCUCACAAAGGUAGAGGAGCCCCACUCAACUUCAAGACCUGACUCUUGCACGGCACAGACCUCUGACGGCAGAGUGCCUCCUUUGACGGACUCUACCGAAGACGAAAAGAGUGUUCCCAUAGCUCCUGUUCCCAUGCCUGUCCCUGACCACGACAUGAGCAAGUGGAUCUGCUCACAACAUCAAAAGCUGUGGAUGAGGACGGCACUUCAACAACUUGGGUUGUGGCCUGGGUCCCGACCAGUGCAUAACCCUGGGAACGCAAUUUCUCUUUGGCGUCUUCCUCCUCAACCGGAGCUACUGGACAUAGUGGCUGAGCUCCCAUCUCCCAACUUUUUUUCAGCUCCAUCCAUUUUUCAUUUGGAAGCCAGAGAGCCACAUCAUGGUCAGGUUGAGGAACAAUUACAUCCUGCCGUGCCUCCAUAG
rnacentral:lncRNA from 1 species